rnacentral:rRNA from 1 species
GACGAACGCUGGCGGUGUGCUUAACACAUGCGAGUCGAACGGUAAGGCCCUUUCGGGGGUACACGAGUGGCGAACGGGUGAGUAACACGUGAGUAACCUGCCCUCAUCUCUGGGAUAACAGUCGGAAACGGUUGCUAAUACUGGAUAUGAGCUUGCAAGGCAUCUUGUGGGUUGGAAAGAUUUUUUUGGUUGGGGAUGGAUUCGCGGCCUAUCAGCUUGUUGGUGAGGUAGUGGCUCACCAAGGCUUCGACGGGUAGCCGGCCUGAGAGGGCGACCGGCCACAUUGGGACUGAGAUACGGCCCAAACUCCUACGGGAGGCAGCAGUGGGGAAUAUUGCACAAUGGACGGAAGUCUGAUGCAGCAACGCCGCGUGCGGGAUGACGGCCUUCGGGUUGUAAACCGCUUUCAAUUGUGACGAAGCUUUUUGUGACGGUAGCAGUAGAAGAAGCACCGGCUAACUACGUG